UACGUAGGGUGCGAGCGUUGUCCGGAAUUACUGGGCGUAAAGAGCUCGUAGGCGGUUUGUCGCGUCGGGAGUGAAAACGCCGUGCUUAACACGGCGCUUGCUUUCGAUACGGGCAGACUAGAGGUAUUCAGGGGAGAACGGAAUUCCUGAUGUAGCGGUGAAAUGCGCAGAUAUCAGGAGGAACACCGGUGGCGAAGGCGGUUCUCUGGGCAUGUUCUGACGCUGAGGAGCGAAAGUGUGGGGAGCGAACAGG
rnacentral:rRNA from 1 species